rnacentral:rRNA from 1 species
UACGAAGGGGGCUAGCGUUGUUCGGAAUCACUGGGCGUAAAGCGCACGUAGGCGGAUCAUUAGUCAGGGGUGAAAUCCCGAGGCUCAACCUCGAACUGCCUUUGAUACUGGGAUCUGUAGUCCGGGAGAGGUGAGUGGAACUGCGAGUGUAGAGGUGAAAUUCGUAGAUAUUCGCAAGAACACCAGUGGCGAAGGCGGCUCACUGGCCCGGUACUGACGCUGAGGUGCGAAAGCGUGGGGAGCAAACAGG